rnacentral:rRNA from 1 species
UACAGAGGUCCCAAGCGUUGUUCGGAUUCACUGGGCGUAAAGGGUGCGUAGGCGGUCGGGUAAGUCUGAUGUGAAAUCUCACAGCUUAACUGUGAAACUGCAUUGGAUACUAUCCGGCUCGAGGAAUGGAGGGGAGACUGGAAUACUUGGUGUAGCAGUGAAAUGCGUAGAUAUCAUUUGGAACGCCAAUGGUGAAAACAGGUAGCUGGGAGUGUGCUGACGCUGAGACACGAAAGCCAGGGGAGCGAACGGG